rnacentral:rRNA from 1 species
UACGGGGGGAGCAAGCGUUGUUCGGAUUUACUGGGCGUAAAGGGCGCGUAGGCGGCCACCGCAAGUCGACUGUGAAAUCUCCGGGCUUAACCCGGAAAGGUCAGCCGAUACUGCGGGGCUAGAGUGCAGAAGGGGCAACUGGAAUUCUCGGUGUAGCGGUGAAAUGCGUAGAUAUCGAGAGGAACACCUGCGGCGAAGGCGGGUUGCUGGGCCGACACUGACGCUGAUGCGCGAAAGCCAGGGGAGCGAACGGGG